ensembl:lncRNA
GUUGUUUACUCGUGAUUUCGACAUGACAAAUUAAGUUGUUUACUUUGUGAUUUCAAUAUAACAAAAGUUGUUUACUCGUGAUUUCGACAUAAAAGUUGUUUACUCCUGAUUUCAACAUAACAGUUGUUUACUCGUGAUUUCGACUUAACAAAAGUUGUUUACUUGCGAUUUCGAAAUAACAGUUUACUCGUGAUUUUGACUUAACAAAAAAUGUUUACUCGUGAUUUCGACAUGACAAAACGUUUACUCGUGAUUUCGACUUAACAAAAAGUUGUUUACUCGUGAUUUCGACUUAACAAAAAGUUGUUUACUCGUGAUUUCGACUUAACAAAAAUUGUUUACUCGUGAUUUCGACUAAACAAAAGUUGUUUACUCGUGAUUUCGACUUAACAAAAAGUUGUUUACUCGUGAUUUCGACUAAACAAAAGUUGUUUACUCGUGAUUUCGACUAAACAAAAGUUGUUUACUCGUGAUUUCGACUUAACAAAAAGUUGUUUACUCGUGAUUUCGACUAAACAAAAGUUGUUUACUCGUGAUUUCGAAAUAACAGUUGUUUACUCGUGAUUUCGACUUAACAAAAGUUGUUUACUCGUGAUUUCGACUUAACAAAAGUUGUUUACUCAUGAUUUCGACUUAACAAAAGUUGUUUACUCGUGAUUUCGACUUAACAAAAGUUGUUUACUCGUGAUUUCAAUAUAACAAAAGCUGUUUACUCGUGAUUUCGACUUAACAAAAGUUGUUUACUCGUGAUUUCGACGUUAUUUACUCGUGAUUAUGACUUAACAAAAAUUGUUUACUCGUGAUUUCGACAUAGCAAAAGUUGUUUUCUCACAACAUCAUUUUAUCAGGAGAAAAUCUCACGCCUUGUGAAUGGGACUGGUAUUGUAUGCAUGUUGUUGUCUUUGCCAUCAUCAUCAUCAUCAUCAUCAUCAUAUAUGUAAUAACUACCCGCUGUAGAGAUGGACCUUAUCUCCGCAUGAAGAGUGAUGGGUGUCCCCUGCUCCGGGAUCGCGCUACGCUUCUGCUGCCCCCAGAACAACUAAAAACAUGUUGUUAUUUCGAGAACAUACAAAAAUGAAGUCAUGACGAGAGCACGAGAAAACGAGAAAGAAUCAAAUAAGGGCUUCCGUAACUGUUCAUCUUAAACAUUUGGAUCGAUUCAAAAACGGAAAUCAAAAGCACGCUUUCAUUCAAUACGUAUAUUUCUCUGUAUUGAUAUCGCAUCGAGACACCACCGUAUCCUGUAUCGAAUGUGAAUUUCACGUCUUGCUACACCCCUGAUGAUCGUUACUAUACGUGAUUGCUGUCGUGUCUUCUGAUUUGCUGUUGAAGUAAGUAUGGUGGCCCAUAAAGGCGUCAACAUAAAGCUGAAUGAUGGUGAUACUUCAAUUCAGUUCGUUACAGUUUUUCCCAAUUGCACACACAGAACUGUGUUAUUAACGUUAACGUAGAGUCUUUACGUAGGAGUCUUAUUCCAAAACUCCUGAAAACAGUAACUGCAAAGUACUUCACAUUAGACACAAUGCUAUAACGUUCACUGACAAAAAGAAAAGAAAAGAAAAAAAAAUCGAAGGUCCGAGUUCCUCAUUUAGGACAGAUUUGAGGACAGCUUCACAUAUAGUAUUAGUACACCGGACCAACGUCCCCAUGAGAGUUCUGACAAACAUUGCGUGUUCAUAAACCAUCAUAGCGCAUCAUACUGAGCAGAACGUUUACAAAUGUAGCCGGAUAGCUAGUUGUGUACCUAAUGGUGGUUGUUUUGUUUAAAAUCGUAUGGUUUGUAGAUCGCCAGAAGUGAUACUGUGGUUAAAAUGAACUAGCUAAGGUAACACACACUCACCUUACCUGUCUGACUAGCAUGCUAGCUAGUAAGACUAACAUGCUAGUUAUCAAACAGUAGUGUUGUGUGAGCACUAAAUAAAUAAAUAAAUUAAAAAAAUUGCCUAUAUAAAUGAUCCUUUAAAGGAUGUGGUUAAUAACACAGCUUGGGGCUUGUUUUGCUCAAAUUUAGCUUGUUUUGCUAGGUGUCUAGCCUAAUUAGCGUUGAGUUAUUUUAAAGCUGUGUGUACACUGUGUGCAAGCAAAAGAGAAAAACCGCACUCCUGAGCAUCAAACCCAGACAAUAGCAGUGCCGCUAUAGUACACACACCACGAUAUCAGAUCAGGCUCUCGUCGUAUCGCACUUUCGGUUUUCUGUAAAAUCUCUCACGUCGUAGUAAAGACUCGAAGCGUGUCAGUGUGUCGGAAUACGACGAAACCACCUCGCUUUAGAGCUGGAGUGCAUUAAGUUCUCACGCUUCUUCUUGGUAGCUGCAGUCCUGACGAACGGACGUCUCCUCCCGCCCCCCCAUGAUUCUUUGCACAUUGGCACGUGCCGAGAAGUGAGAGUUUGAGAAAAGUUCUGCUCUGGGAUCGAAUAUGAAGAUCGUUUCCUCCGGACUUCAAAACAUGUUAAAAAAAAACGUUUGAUGUCUGAAGUCUGCAUCUAUAGUUUUUCGCUAGAGCUACGAGGUUAAUGUAGCUAAUAGAAAGUCUCUCUCACUCAAAAUCAUUCGCAUAAAUACCUGACUCAAACCGCAACCAGUUCUGGACGCCAUGUGACGGCUGGCUGGGAAAACGACGUUAUCGGGAAUUAAACUGCAGCCUGAAUCAGAAGCGUGGCUUCUCAUUGUAUGAGCAUAGGUGUAAAACUAAUACGCACAGGAACACAAAUACUCAUUAGGUGCUUUUACACGCGCCCAUUUUCGUCGAUCCGAAUUCAGACUCCGAAAGUACUGUACCGUAAUCCCUAAUUUCUCCAUCUGGGGAUUGAUAAACUAUUAUCUUAUCUUAUCUUAUCUAAACAUUGCGAUCCAAUUCAAAUAUCCGCUUACAGGUGCGUUACAUUUCAGCCAUGAGAACUCUCGGAGUGAAACCGUGAGCUUUUAUAGAUGGGGACGGAGUGUAAAUAGGUUUGGUCUGGCGCACUCGAGCUGUGACGCGGCUGCUGCGCGAGUACGAAUACUUGCACCGAUAGUCAUGGAGAGACAUGCGGCCCCGAACGGAGCUAUUUAUCAACAGAAAGAAAGACAAAUGCGGCACGUAGCGUUAUUUACAGAGAUGAAGGGCUUAAGACCAGCCAGUCCUGACUGUAAUCUAUAAGCAUACAUAAAAUUUCAUUCUCUCUUGGAACGCUGUAACAUUAUAGGUGGCGGCCAUCUUGGACCAAUGCCUGUACACCCAAAAUAUGAAGGUACUGUAGAGGUACUGUAGUAGUACAAUACAAUUCACUACAGUUUUUUUUAUUUUCUUAAAAUGAGAUUACACAGCCAAUCGAUAUGAUAUGACAAUUUGGGCGAGACAGAUAGUUUUGAGUGAGGUAGACUUCCAUUAUUUGUUAACUACAUUGGCUUCAUAGAUCCAAAAAAAAAAAAAACCCAAAAAAUCAUUUAACCGAAUGGAAAAUUGUAUAUAUUUUAAUGUUCCUUUAACCUGAUAUUUGAAAUGACGACAAAACCAAAAUGGUACGCAGUCAGUUAGUUAUGAAAUGGGGAGACACUGUUUUGUAUCAGAGGCAUUGUAACAGUCUUCCUUAGAGGAAAACACACCCACACACACACACACACACACACUGCAUAGUUCCAUCAUGUUCAUUCAUCAUGUGCAGAAGGAGAAACCGUCUCAGUUCCUGUGUCACUUUCUUUCUGUGUUUUUUUCCCCCUCCUGGUUUCACAUGUUGUAGGCCACGUAAAUGGGGUCGAGCUGAUCGGCGAGGAAGCCAUCGCGCAGGUGCAUGCGCUGCUUCUCCCCACGAGAGUUGAUGGGAAUGACGCCCGGGUCGACCACCACCACCACGCCCACGAUCAGGUAGUGCUCCUCCAAAACCACGUUGGUGACGAGGGGAACGAGAUCCAGAGCCUCCUGCUCCAAGCCUUCCAGCUCCACCACCACCACCAGCAGGUUAGUCCACGUGAACACGGCACUGCAGAGGACAAACACCGCGUGUAAAGAAGUGUGCAUACUGUACAGCACAGG